AGCAGUGGGGAAUCUUGGACAAUGGGCGCAAGCCUGAUCCAGCCAUGCCGCGUGAGUGACGAAGGCCCUAGGGUCGUAAAGCUCUUUCAACUGUGAAGAUAAUGACGGUAGCAGUAGAAGAAACCCCGGCUAACUCCGUGCCAGCAGCCGCGGUAAUACGGAGGGGGUUAGCGUUGUUCGGAAUUACUGGGCGUAAAGCGCACGUAGGCGGACUAUUAAGUCGAGGGUGAAAUCCCGGGGCUCAACCCCGGAACUGCCUCCGAUACUGGUAGUCUUGAGUUCGAGAGAGGUGAGUGGAAUUCCGAGUGUAGGGGUGAAAUUCGUAGAUAUUCGGAGGAACACCAGUGGCGAAGGCGGCUCACUGGCUCGAUACUGACGCUGAGGUGCGAAAGUGUGGGGAGCAAACAGGAUUAGAUACCCUGGUAGUCCACACCGUAAACGAUGAAUGCCAGACGUCGGGUAGCAUGCUAUUCGGUGUCACACCUAACGGAUUAAGCAUUCCGC
rnacentral:rRNA from 1 species